rnacentral:rRNA from 1 species
GAUGAACGCUGGCGGCGUGCCUAAUACAUGCAAGUCGAGCGAACAGACGAGGAGCUUGCUCCUCUGACGUUAGCGGCGGACGGGUGAGUAACACGUGGAUAACCUACCUAUAAGACUGGGAUAACUUCGGGAAACCGGAGCUAAUACCGGAUAAUAUAUUGAACCGCAUGGUUCAAUAGUGAAAGGCGGUUUUGCUGUCACUUAUAGAUGGAUCCGCGCCGCAUUAGCUAGUUGGUAAGGUAACGGCUUACCAAGGCAACGAUGCGUAGCCGACCUGAGAGGGUGAUCGGCCACACUGGAACUGAGACACGGUCCAGACUCCUACGGGAGGCAGCAGUAGGGAAUCUUCCGCAAUGGGCGAAAGCCUGACGGAGCAACGCCGCGUGAGUGAUGAAGGUCCUCGGAUCGUAAAACUCUGUUAUUAGGGAAGAACAAAUGUGUAAGUAACUAUGCACGUCUUGACGGUACCUAAUCAGAAAGCCACGGCUAACUACGUG